AUGUUCCGGAGCUACAAUUUGCGCUCGCUUGUUCCUUCCCUCCCCCCUUCUCUCCCUCUCUCCCUUCUUUUCCUUUCUCCCCCCUUCUCUCCCUCUCCUCCCUCCCCCUUCUUUUCCUCCCUUUCCCUCUUCUCCUCCCUUUUCUCCCUUCCCUCUUCUUCCCCUCCCUCCCAUUCUUUCCCUGCCUCCCCCUUUUUUCCCUCCCUCCUUUUCUCCCUUCCCCCUUGUUUCCCUCCCUCCCCCCUUCUUUUCCUGCCUCCCCCUUCUUUCCCUCCCUCCUUUUCUCCCUCCCCCUUCUUCCCCUCCCUCCUUUUCUCCCUUCCCCCUUGUUUCCCUCCCUCCCCUCUUCUUUUCCUGCCUCACCCUUCUUUCCCUCCCUACUUUUCUCCCUCCCCCUUCUUCUCCUCCCUCUUUUUCUCCCUUCGCCCUUGUUUCCCUCCCUCCCCCUGGUUUCCCUCCCUCCUUUCCUCCCUUCCCCCUUGUUUCCCUCCCUUCCCCCUUGUUUCCCUCCCUUCCCCCUUUUCUUGCCUCCCCCCUUCUUUCCCUUCCUCCCCUUCUUUCCCUCCCUUCCUCCCCUUCGUUCCCUCCCUGCCUUCCUCCCCUCCCUCCUUUUCUCCCUCCCCCUUCUUUCCCUCCAUCCCCCUUUCUCCCCCGCCCCCCCAACCCCUUCUCUCCCUCCCCCCUCCGCCUUGUCCCAGGCCGGGGCCCUACCUGCUGCCGCUGCCCCGCGCUCCGGCCACGGUCACCAUCCUCCGGGUUGUACCCCCGCCCCCGUGGCCGCCCGCGGGUUGGGGCGAGGCCGAUGCCUUCUUCUGGGGUCCGGUCCGUCCCGGACGGGGCCGCCCGGAGCCUCCCGGAGCUCGUCACCGAGUGCCUGCGCUCCCGGGCCGCAGCGCAACGCAGAGCAGCGCAGAGCGGGGACGGGCGGGAGCCAAGCGCAGCGCUAAAGCGGGGGCACAGCGACCCCUGGCGGAGGCUGGAACCCAAUGGGGGCGGAGACGGGACGCCUGCAGCUCCCCCUUCCCGGUCAAGCGAUCGAUCGAUCGUAUUGAUUACGCACUUAUUCUGCGCAGAGCGCUGUCAUUCCUUCCUUCCUUCCUUCCUUCCUUCCUUCCUUCCUUCCUUCCUUCCUUCCUUCCUUCCUUCCUUCCUUCCUAUUUAUUGAGCGCUUACUAUGUGCAGAGCACUGUACUAAGCGCUUGGGAAGUACAAAUCGGUAGAUAG
rnacentral:lncRNA from 1 species